rnacentral:rRNA from 1 species
UACGGGGGGGGCAAGCGCUGUCCGGAAUUAUUGGGCGUAAAGAGCUUGUAGGCGGUCUGUCGCGUCUGCUGUGAAAAUCCGGGGCUCAACCCCGGACUUGCAGUGGGUACGGGCAGACUAGAGUGUGGUAGGGGAGACUGGAAUUCCUGGUGUAGCGGUGAAAUGCGCAGAUAUCAGGAGGAACACCGAUGGCGAAGGCAGGUCUCUGGGCCACUACUGACGCUGAGAAGCGAAAGCAUGGGGAGCGAACAGG